rnacentral:sRNA from 1 species
AAAAAUUAAAAUAAAAAAAUCGAAAAUCCAAGUAAUAAAAAAAAUAAUUUUAACCGCAAAAUAUAAAAAACGUUCCAACAUUUUUCGGAUUUGUAAAUUUUUACAAAAAAUCUAUUAAAAAAUACGGCGCAAACGCCACCCUAUUUAUUAAUAUAAUUUAAAAAAACCUAAAGUUCCAAUAAACGGAAUAAAUAUACAAAACUUUUAAAUAAUUAGAAAACGCAAUAAUUAAAAAACCAAUUUUAAAAAUAUUAAAUCCAAAUAUUAUUUUCGAAAUUAAAACCAAUAUAUCGGAUUAUAUAAUUGGAAAAUAAUUUAAUUAACGGAACGAAAAAAACGGUUGCAUUUUUACAUUUUUCUUUUAUAAAAAUUAUAUAAACCAAAAUUAAAUUACCAAAUUUACAAUAAAGAAAUUAUAAUUAUUAUUUAAAUAUUUGGAAAAUGGAAAUUAUAAUUAUCCGGGAUUAAAUAUAAAAUAUUAAUUUAUGUAGAUUACAAAAGUUUAACCCAUUUUACUAUUAAUAGAAUAUUAAAU